CCUACGGGAGGCUGCAGUGGGGAAUAUUGCACAAUAGGGGGAACCCUGAUGCAGCGACGCCGCGUGGGUGAAGGAGUAUUUCGGUAUGUAAAGCCCUAUCAGCAGGGAAGAACAAUGACGGUACCUGACUAAGAAGCACCGGCUAAAUACGUGCCAGCAGCCGCGGUAAUACGUAUGGUGCAAGCGUUAUCCGGAUUUACUGGGUGUAAAGGGAGCGCAGGCGGCGCGUUAAGCCGGGUGUGAAAGUCCGCGGCCCAACCGCGGGACUGCAUUGGGAACUGGCGCGCUGGAGUGCCGGGGGGGUAGGCGGAAUUCCUAGUGUAGCGGUGAAAUGCGUAGAUAUUAGGAGGAACACCAGUGGCGAAGGCGGCCUACUGGACGGUGACUGACGCUGAGGCUCGAAAGCGUGGGGAGCAAACAGGAUUAGAUACCCCAGUAGUC
rnacentral:rRNA from 1 species